rnacentral:lncRNA from 1 species
UUCUGAAUUAUCAUUUCCUACUGGAAAAACAGCUUAAGCUUUCAGUGAAGUAUAUGGUGAUAGAUUUGGAGUCUGACUUUUGGGGCUAUGUCUACUUAGGUGUCUUGGACAAGCAGGAUAAUUAUGGACCUGGCUUCUGAAGUCAUACUUCGUGGAUCUGAGUUGGUUCUGUCAUUGGGUAUGAUGUGAAGGAAUAAAGAGGGAGCCAAAAUUGAGGGAAUGGCCUACCAAUGACCUGCCCAACUGGAGACCCAUGCCAUGGACAAAAGCUAACCCCUGACACUAUCAUUGAUACUCUGCUAGACUUGCAGACAUGAUUCUAACAUAACUGUCCUCUGAGAGACUUCAUCCAGCAUUGAUGGAAACACAUGCAAAGAUCUACAGCCAAACAUUAGGUAGAACUUGAGGAAUCUUGUGGAAGAGAGGGAGGAAGGACUGAAAGACCCAGAGAGGUCAAGGAUACCACAAGAAAACCUACAAAAUAAUCCCAGCACCUGAACCAUCAACCAGAAAGCAUGAAUGGGAUGGACUUAGACCCUCUACACAUAUUUGACAGAUGUGCAGCUUGGUCUUCAUGUAGAAUCCCUAACUGCAGGAGCAGGGGCUGUCCCUGACUCUGAUGCCUGCCUUUGGAUCCUUUUUCCUAACUGGGCUGCCUUGAGUAGCCUCAACAGAAGAUGCACCCAGUCCUGUUGUAAUUUAGUAAGCCUAGGUAGGUUGAUAUCCAAGGAAGGCCUCCUCUUUGAGGAGAAAGGGACAGGAGUAUGGGGGAGGAGAGGGAAGAGGGAGGGACAGGGAGAAAUAGAGGGAGGGGAAGCUGAGAAUGGGAUGUAAAGGAAUCAAUUAUAUAAUAAUGCAAAGUAAGUAAUUAAUGAAAAAUUAAAUUCAUUAAAAAUAAAAUGAAACAAAGUUUGGUU